rnacentral:rRNA from 1 species
CCUACGGGAGGCAGCAGUGGGGAAUUUUGCGCAAUGCUCGUAAGAGUGACGCAGCGACGCCGCGUGAAUGACGAAGGCCUUCGGGUCGUAAAGUUCUUUCGACAGGGAAGAAAAUGCCUCUAAAUAACUGUGUAUGUAUUGACGGUACCUGAGUCAGCAGCCCCGGCUAACUCCGUGCCAGCAGCCUCGGUAAUACGGAGGCGGCAAGCGUUUUUCGUAGUGACUGGGAGGAAAGAGCACGUAGGCGGUGUUGUAAGUCAUUAGUCAAAGACUAGAGCUCAACUUUAGUAAGGCUCGUGAUACUAUAAUACUAGAGUAGAAGAGAGGAUUGCAGAAUUCCUGGUGUAGCGGUGAAAUGCGUAGAUAUUAGGAGGAAUACCAUUAGCGAAGGCGGCAAUCUGGCUGGAAACUGACGCUGAGGUGCGAAAGCGUGGGUAGCAAACAGGAUUAGAUACCCGGGUAGUC